rnacentral:miRNA from 1 species
AGAGGCAGGGGAAUCUCUAGGAGUUCCAGGCCAGCCUGGUCUACAGAAUGAGUUCUAGGACAGCCAGAGCUACACAGAGAAACCCUGUCUCGAGAA